AGUGGACAAGAUUAGAUCUGAAUUGACUUGACAAAACGUCUAAUGGGCCUCAGCUUGACUGAGACCGGUCUAGCUGCUAACCUCCAGAAAGGUUUUUCGUGCACUGACACUGACAUCUUGACCAAGGAACAUGAAAAGAAAGGAAAAUUGCACAACCAAUUUGGUUACAGCUUUUGGGAGAUUCAGCGACCUUGGUACGAACUAGGAACACGGAACGCAAGAAGGAAAUUAGGCAUGGAAAGAAGAAUUUUUUGGAUCCACAUUGGAGGUUGGACAGAGAAGCACUCCUCUCCAAUUGACUCUUCCUCCUCC
rnacentral:lncRNA from 1 species